AGAUACUGAUAUCACACAAGUAUGUAGCUGUCAAACCUGCUCAUCUUUGGGGAUUCAUAUUGCAUUUUUUACAAAUUGAAGGUGUGUGACAACCCUGCAUCAGGCAUUUUCCCAACAGCACUGUUUUUAAAUUAAGAAAGACCAGCAGUCUUGUUAAUAGAGCCAUGUUCCUGUUUCCAAGACCCAGCACAACCCAGAAUUAAAGAGAUUAUUUUGAAGGUGAUUACAGUCCUUCCAACAAUAUUUUCCCUUCAAAAGAAAAUGACUUCUGAACAAAAUUACAACCAAGUGCUGAACAACCUUCAACCAAAUGGACUGGAAACUUUCAAAAAGAUAUCCUACUCCAGAAGACAAAGAAGAGGCCAUAUCAAGACGGUAGGAGGGGUGAUUAUGUGAUAUAAGCAACCACAUACCCCCCUGGUAGGAAGCCCACAGACUGGAAAUUAUCACAGAGACUCACCUAUAGGAGUGAGAGUUCUGAGCCCCAUGUCAGGUCACCAGGCCUGGAGAUCUGGGACUGGGAGAAAGAGCACCCAGAGCAUCUGGCAUUGAAGGCCAGUAGGGCUUGUGUGCAGGAGCACCACGGUACUGGGGGAAAAGGAGACCCCAUUUUUGAAAAGUGUACACAGGCUUUCAUGUGCACUGGGUCCCAGGGCAAAACAGAGGCUCCAUAGGAAUCUGGGUUGGACCUGACUGCAGUUCUUGGAGGAUCUCCUGGGAAAACAGGGGGUGAUUGUGGCUCAUUGUGGGGGAAGGACAUUGGAAGCAAAGAUACUCACCAGCAUGUGUUCCUCUAGAGGUGGUCAUUUUGGGAAAAUCUAACCCCACCCAUCAGUGCAGAGAAGCCCCAGACCAAACAAUAAUCCAGGUGAGAUCACAGACCCACCCAUUACUAAACAGGCUGCCUAAAUACCCCCACCCCCAGGCACAGCAGCCUCUAAUCUCACCCAGAGAAAAAGCCCCACCCACCAGAGGGAUAGGAAUCAGACCCAAAAACCAGUGGGCAGGCACCAGUCCCUCCCAUCAGGAAGCCUACAGCAAGCCCCUGUACCAACUUCAGCCACAAGGAGGGCAGACAUCAGAAGAGAGGCUAUAACUCUAUUUUCUGCAAAAAGGAGACAACACCAAAAACCUAUAAAAAUGAAAAGGCAGAGAACCAUAAUUCAGAUAAAGGAGCAAGGAAAAAAACCCAGAAAAACAGCUAAGUAAUCUGGAGAUUAUCAGCCUCCAGGAAAAAAAAAAAGACUUUAGGCUGAUGAUGCUAAAGAUGAUGCAAGACAUUGGAAAUAAAUUGGAGCCAAAGACUGAUAAUGUACAGGAAACACUGAGCAAAGAAAUAUGAGAUUUAAAACUUAAGCAAGCAGAGAUGUAAAAUACAAUAACUGAAAUAAAAAAAUUCAUUAGAAGCAACCAGUAGCAAAAUACAGGAGGCAGAAGAACAAAUAAGCAAGGUGGAGGACAGACUAGUGGAAAUCACUGAUGCAGUACAGAAAA
rnacentral:lncRNA from 1 species